CCUGGUAACGCUGGGUGUGCAGCCGAGGUAAGACAGGGGGUGCGAGCGUUAAUCGGAGUUACUGGUGGGAACGCGUGCGUAGGCGGCUUUUUAAGUCGGAGGUUAAAUCCCCGAGCUUAGCUUGGGAAUUGCAUUCGAUACUGGGAAGCUAGAGUAUGGGAGAGGAUGGUAGAAUUCCAGGUGUAGCGGUGAAAUGCGUAGAGAUCUGGAGGAAUACCGAUGGCGAAGGCAGCCAGCUGGCCUAAUACUGACGCUGAGGUACGAAAGCAUGGGGAGCAAACAGGAUUAGAUACCCGGUAGC
rnacentral:rRNA from 1 species